CCAACAUGGAAAACAAUAAAGCCAAUUUUAUUUGUUACUGUGUACCGCCCUCCUGGUCCGUACUCUGAAUUUCUAUCUGAAUUCUCAGAAUUUUUAUCAAAUUUAGUCCUUAAAACAGAUAAAGUAAUUAUUGUAGGUGACUUUAAUAUUCAUGUGGAUGUUGAUAGUGACAGCCUUAAUAAUGCAUUUAUCUCAAUAUUAGAUUCAAUUGGGUUCAGUCAGAAUGUACAUGAACCAACUCACUGUUUAAACCACACUCUGGACCUUGUUCUGGGAUAUGGUGUUGAAAUUGAAAGUUUAUCAGUGUGUCCACAUAAUCCUCUUUUAUCAGACCAUUUUUUAAUAACUUUUGAAGUCCUGUUACUGGACUACAAGCCAGUAGGCAAAAUAUCCUACGCUCGAUGUUUAUCUGAAAGUGCUGUGACUAAAUUUAAGGAAGUGAUUCCAUCAGCACUUGAUUCAAUACCAGGACUCAAUAUCAAUAUAACAGAGGACUCCAAUGCUAACUUUAGUCCCUCCCAAAUUAAUCAUCUUGUUGAUAGCGCUGCAGCCUCACUGCGAAUAACACUCGACUCUGUCGCUCCUCUUAAGAAGAAGAUCAUAAAACAGAAAAAGAAAGCUCCAUGGCUUAAUUUACAAAUCCGCAAACUAAAACAAAAGUCGAGAAAUCUUGAAAGUAAAUGGCGUUCCACUAAAUUGGAAGAAUCUCGUUUAGUCUGGUUAGAUCAUCUUAAAACGUAUAAGAAGGCUCUCCGUAAUGCCAGAGCAGCUUAUUACUCUUCCUUAAUAGAAGAAAAUAAGAACAACCCCAGGUUUCUUUUCAGCACUGUAGCCAGGCUGACAGAGAGCCACAGCUCUACAGAGCCUUCUGUUCCUAUAUCUCUCAGUAGUGACGACUUUAUGAGUUUCUUUAACGAUAAAAUUAUAAUUAUUAGAGACAAAAUUAAUCUCCUCCUGACCUCAAUUGGUAAUGACUUAACUUCAACUGUUGGAAUUUUAAAA
rnacentral:lncRNA from 1 species